UACGAAGGGGGCUAGCGUUGUUCGGAUUUACUGGGCGUAAAGCGCACGUAGGCGGAUCGAUCAGUCAGGGGUGAAAUCCCAGAGCUCAACUCUGGAACUGCCUUUGAUACUGUCGAUCUGGAGUAGGGAAGAGGUGAGUGGAAUUCCGAGUGUAGAGGUGAAAUUCGUAGAUAUUCGGAGGAACACCAGUGGCGAAGGCGGCUCACUGGUCCAUUACUGACGCUGAGGUGCGAAAGCGUGGGGAGCAAACAGG
rnacentral:rRNA from 1 species